rnacentral:tRNA from 1 species
AAAUAAGAAGCAUAUAAUGUAAUUAGUUUCGACCUAAUAGAAGGUAUUGACUUUACCCUUAUUUA